GCCGCUGGAGGAGGGCGGCCUGUGGCGGGGGGGGGACGGGGACACGGACACGGGACACCCGGUGGGACUCGCCCCGCGGGGGAACGGCGCCGAGUUGGCGCUCAGAAACGCGAAGGCAGCGUCUGGAUUUGGGCGUCCUGCAGGAAAACCACGUGCAAGCCAGGCUCGCUCCCACAACGCCCACCCGAGUCAGGGCGGCCCGACUGGAGAGACACACCCCCCCCCCCCCCCCCCACGGCACGGCCCCCGGGCACCAGAGCCACAGAGCUUUUGCACUGGCAGUUCCCAAAUGCAGCAUUUCAAAGAAAAAAAAAAAAAAAUGGGAAAGAUUGGAAAAGAAAUGUGAGGGGGGAAAAACCUGUAAGCGCCGAUUCAGCCAGGGCUGAACUCAGUGCGAAUUCUGCCUUUGGCUCCAGUGUUAAUGCCAACAAUGCUGCUUUCUUCUGCUAAGCUCAGAAACUAUUUCAGAUGGAGAAAUUCCCGGUUUUGUUUCAAACCGACCGCUUUAAAAUGGAGUGACCCCCUUCACUUUUUAGACAGGUAAAGGGAAAAACCAUCAUCUCUUCCCCGAGUGCUCAGCGUACCAAGUUUUAGUCAAGACGGAGAUUAAAUUAUUUUCUUUUUCCUGGGAAAUAAACCUGUGAAAACAGAGGUUUAUAAUAAAAAUGCUGAAACAAGCUUAACUGUAGUGGUGCAAAGUAGCUGCAAUCAUACUCGGUGAAUCCUGUUACUGGGAGAUAAAGACAGCUUCAGUGUUAUCUUCUAAGAAAGCAUAUUUUCCCAUAAUUCUUGAUAGCUCUGAUUUAGGAUUUGGGAGUCUCUGAAGAGUCCCCAGCUGGGGCCUGCGCUCCCGAGAGAUGCUGCCAGGAAGAUCGCACCGAGAAGCAGACAGGCUACCAACCCAAAUCUGCAAAAAGCUUUCCUACAAAGCUGUAGAAAUCAGACAAGAUGGAUGGUGUCAGGAGUCAGGUCAGGCACGGUGGCACUCGCUGAGACACCUCUGACGGCUCCAGCAUGAGCCUGGCACCGCGAGACCUCUCUUCGCUUCCUGGUUUUGCCACAAAAUUUCAGGGUGAGCUGGGGCUGCUCGCUCGGCCUCAGGCUCUUCAGCCACGGAAAGGGACACACGGGAGCUUCAGUAACACCUGAGGUCCUUGGACAAUCUGAGCGACACGGACGCAUCAGUCUGCUCUGCCUAGUUUUGGACUAUAGUGUAAUUUCACUCAUUGCCUGGCCAGAACUCAGGCAUUUGCCUGUGCAGUCACAUUUAAAUCUUUCCUUUUAUUCCUCACUGCAACACUUGAGCAUUAGUUAAAAGAUUUGAGCGACGCCGCAUAAUCAUUACAGUGCAGCACUAAGGGUAAAUUCAUAAAAUGUAAUUGGGAAGAGAGAUCCAUGUGAGAAGUAAGUAACCCUAAGAGUCAAAUCAUUUUCUUCCAAAAGUGGUUGAGGCUAUCUAAGGAAAAAUGAAACAAAAAACUCCAGAACUCCCCAAAGCUUUGUUAACUAAACAGUUGUCCAUUAAAGAGACCAAAUAUUUCACAGCAUUAGUCUUUGGAUUAAUGUUAAAUCGAUAGGCACUAACGCAAUAGGGCAAUAGUUACCAUGGUGAAUAAUUCUAUAUUUAUUUUCAAGCAAGCCUUAUUUCUAACAAUUCCAGACAUGGUUUCCACUUUCUGGUGACUAACCUCUUUUAAGUUUAUUUUUUUUAACUAUUUGGUACCAGAAACUCAAGUUUUCUUCCUGACAAUUAGAACAAGGUCACUGCCACGACAGAGAACAAUGCCGGGCAGGGAUGCGGAUGCUCGCCAGUUUUAGCUGAGGGCUUGUUUGCCUUUGAAAAUCAGAACAGCUACAUCUCGGGUACGAUUUAAAGCGCAGGAGAUGAUACUGUGAAUUAAGUCUUUGGUAGACAAGCUCUCAUCCUUGUUUGGAACGGCGGGAGCAUUUUCCUUCCAAGGCUUCAUCCCAUUUGCUAAAGUGUCAAUAACCUACCUCAAACAAUAUUCCACCUAAAAGGCUCCGAAAUACCCUCCCUCCUCG